CGAAAGCCUGACGGAGCAAUACCGCGUGAGGGAGGAAGGUUCUUGGAUUGUAAACCUCUUUUCUUAGGGAAGAAGUACUGACGGUACCUAAGGAAUAAGCAUCGGCUAACUCCGUGCCAGCAGCCGCGGUAAUACGGAGGAUGCGAGCGUUAUCCGGAAUCAUUGGGCGUAAAGAGUCUGUAGGUGGCACUUCAAGUCUGCUGUCAAAGACCGAAGCUUAACUUCGGAAAGGCGGUGGAAACUGAAGAGCUAGAGUAAAGCAGGGGUAGAGGGAAUUCCCAGUGUAGCGGUGAAAUGCGUAGAGAUUGGGAAGAACACCAGUGGCGAAGGCGCUCUACUGGGCUAAAACUGACACUGAGAGACGAAAGCUAGGGUAGCG
rnacentral:rRNA from 1 species